GGGGGCCUACACUGCAGUCGAACGCUUUGUGGUUCUGUGGAUUUGAAUAGCUUGCUCUUAUAUGACGAUGGACAUUGCGAAGAGUGGCGAACGGGUGAGUAACACUCAGGGAAACCUACCUCUUAGCAGGGGAUAACAUUUGGAAACAGAUGCUAAUACCGUAUAACAAUGACAACCGCAUGGUUGUUAUUUAAAAGAUGGUUCUGCUAUCACUAAGAGAUGGUCCCGCGGUGCAUUAGCUAGUUGGUAAGGUAAUGGCUUACCAAGGCGAUGAUGCAUAGCCGAGUUGAGAGACUGAUCGGCCACAAUGGGACUGAGACACGGCCCAUACUCCUACGGGAGGCAGCAGUAGGGAAUCUUCCACAAUGGGCGAAAGCCUGAUGGAGCAACGCCGCGUGUGUGAUGAAGGGUUUCGGCUCGUAAAACACUGUUGUAAGAGAAGAAUGACAUUGAGAGUAACUGUUCAAUGUGUGACGGUAUCUUACCAGAAAGGAACGGCUAAAUACGUGCCAGCAGCCGCGGUAAUACGUAUGUUCCAAGCGUUAUCCGGAUUUAUUGGGCGUAAAGCGAGCGCAGACGGUUAUUUAAGUCUGAAGUGAAAGCCCUCAGCUCAACUGAGGAAUUGCUUUGGAAACUGGAUGACUUGAGUGCAGUAGAGGAAAGUGGAACUCCAUGUGUAGCGGUGAAAUGCGUAGAUAUAUGGAAGAACACCAGUGGCGAAGGCGGCUUUCUGGACUGUAACUGACGUUGAGGCUCGAAAGUGUGGGUAGCAAACAGGAUUAGAUACCCUGGUAGUCCACACCGUAAACGAUGAGUGCUAGGUGUUUGAGGGUUUCCGCCCUUAAGUGCCGCAGCUAACGCAUUAAGCACUCCGCCUGGGGAGUACGACCGCAAGGUUGAAACUCAAAGGAAUUGACGGGGACCCGCACAAGCGGUGGAGCAUGUGGUUUAAUUCGAAGCAACGCGAAAGAACCUUACCAGGUCUUGACAUCCCCUUGACAACUCCAGAGAUGGGAGCGUUUCCCUUUCGGGGGACAGGUGACAGGUGGAUGCAUUGGAUGGUCGGUCAGCCUCGUUGUCGGUGAGAUGUUGGGUAAAGUCCCGCCAACGA
rnacentral:rRNA from 1 species